rnacentral:rRNA from 1 species
AUUGAACGCUGGCGGCAGGCCUAACACAUGCAAGUCGAACGGUAACAGGAAGAAGCUCGCUUCUUUGCUGACGAGUGGCGGACGGGUGAGUAAUGUCUGGGAAACUGCCUGAUGGAGGGGGAUAACUACUGGAAACGGUAGCUAAUACCGCAUAACGUCGCAAGACCAAAGAGGGGGACCUUCGGGCCUCUUGCCAUCGGAUGUGCCCAGAUGGGAUUAGCUAGUAGGUGGGGUAACGGCUCACCUAGGCGACGAUCCCUAGCUGGUCUGAGAGGAUGACCAGCCACACUGGAACUGAGACACGGUCCAGACUCCUACGGGAGGCAGCAGUGGGGAAUCUUGCACAAUGGGCGCAAGCCUGAUGCAGCCAUGCCGCGUGUAUGAAGAAGGCCUUCGGGUUGUAAAGUACUUUCAGCGGGGAGGAAGGGAGUAAAGUUAAUACCUUUGCUCAUUGACGUUACCCGCAGAAGAAGCACCGGCUAACUCCGUG